rnacentral:rRNA from 1 species
AGUGAACGCUGGCGGCGUGCCUAAUACAUGCAAGUCGAACGAAGUGGCGCACGGGUGAGUAAUAUAUAGUUAAUCUGCGCUACACAGAGGAACAACAGUUGGAAACGGCUGCUAAUACCUCAUAGUGUAGGAUGAGACUAUAUCGUAUCAGCUAGUUGGUAAGGUACUGGCGUACCAAGGCUAUGACGCGUAACUGGUCUGAGAGGAUGAUCAGUACAAUUGGAACUGAGACACGGUCCAAACUCCUACGGGAGGCAGCGGUAAGGAAUAUUGCGCAAUGGGCGAGUCCCUGGCGGAUCUUCGCCGUGUGGAGGAUGUUACUUUGCGGGGCGUAAACUCCUUUUAUCAGGAAAGCGGUACCUGAAGAAUAAGCACCGGCUAACUCCGUGCCAGCAGCCGCGGUAAUUC